GCAGAAUCAAACUCCUGGGCUCAAGCAAUCCUCCUGCCUUGGCCUCCUGAGUAGCUAGGACUAUAGGAAUGCCUAGCUAAUUUUUAUAUUAUUAUUAUUAUUUUGUAGAGAGAGGGUCUCAGUAUCUUGCCCAAGCUGGUCUUGAACUCCUGCGUUCAAGUAAUCCUCCCGCCUCGGCCUCCCAGUGUUGGGAUUAUAGGAUUGAGCCACUGCACUCUUCUGCCUCAGCUGUUGAUGUAGGCAGGUGGAUCACCUGAGGUCAGGAGUUCGAGACCAGCCUGGCCAACAUGGCAAAACCCCGUCUCUACUAAAAAUAAAAAAAUUAGCCAGGAGUGAUGGUGCGCGCCUGUAUUCCCAGCUACUUGAGAGGCUGAGGCAGGAUAAUUGCCUCGGAGACGGAGGUUGCAGUGAGCCAAGAUCUUGCCAUUGCACUCCAGCCUGGGCAACAGAGCGAGACUCUGUCUCAAAAAAAAAAAAAAAAAAAAAAAUGCUGUUUGGUAACCAGAUUUAAGCUUUGUCUAUUUCAGACCUUCCAGCUGAUUCCAAAGACUCUCCUAAAAGCAAUUCCAGUUUUGAAAUGUUAUGUAAGCCUCACUGAUGCAGAGUACAUAAAAUAAAAUAUGAACUUCAGAGUUUGGAAGGGACAUUACAUGAAGACCAGGGCUUCACAGUGGAAGACGAUUCUGGCAAGGCUAGGCUGGUUCCAGGGCACUGCACGGUACCCCGAAUAUUUUCUCUUUUUCAGUCUGUGGUUUUCAUCUGCUGACCCUGCAUUGUGUCUUCACCAAGGGUCAAAAAGCUUCAAGUCUGACAGAUCAGCCUUUACCACCUGAAAGAUCCCGGUUCUCUUCUGAAAUCAUAAGCAAAUGUUAGCCUUGUCUAUGGAUAGCAAACUGCUGAUGCAGAAACCAAAACACCAGCAGGAGCCCAGGCAGCUAAGGCCUCAUCCAGGCAGGAUGUGAAAUGUCAGG
rnacentral:lncRNA from 10 species